rnacentral:misc_RNA from 1 species
AGCGCCUUGCUCGCGUGUCUUUGUUUUUUUUUUCUUUGCACUUCGUUGCCGCCGAACCUCGAGACCUAACCUCGACCCUAACUCGGCUUAAAUCCCGCUGGGGAUUUAUUUUUAGAUUUAUAUCUUUAAUUAUACUUUGCUACAAAUCGAGUCACUGCCCUCGAUUAAUAACGGGCUGACUGAUUACCGGCAUUUACACCGGUGGAGAUCUCCGCCGGUCAUCGGACGAAGACGGAACUGAAGACCAUCAUCGCCGGGAAUUAGUCAGGCCAGUGUCCUUCCAUUUUACUUUCUAAGGUACGUUUGAAUUCAAAAGAACAACAUGUAGGUAAGAAACUAAAGCGAACACAUUCAAGACAGAUGGUCGAGUGGAUGACACACGU